AUGAAGGAAAAGAAGUUUCUACUAGAAACUCAAAGGCCAAAUGUGAAUAUGAAAAGAAGCAAGAAGUUGAUGUUAAAAUCUCCAAAAAUUGAGAUCCAACAAAUAGGUUUAACCUUAGAGGUUGUUCUAAUAACUGGAUUGGAUUCUCAGUUUAUGUUCAAUGAAACCAUUAGAAUUCUCAAUGAAGAAGGAGUUGAUAUUGUUAAUGCUAGCUAUAAAGUACAAGAAUUUGGCAGUGAAGCUGCAAGAAUAUCUCAGAGAUUGAACAAGUUUAUGUAUGAUUAUUUUAUUAGCGUCAUUAGCCUAAGCCCUAAUGCAUUUCUUUGA